rnacentral:rRNA from 1 species
AUUGAACGCUGGCGGCAUGCCUUACACAUGCAAGUCGAACGGUAACAGGUUAAGCUGACGAGUGGCGAACGGGUGAGUAAUGUAUCGGAACGUGCCCAGUCGUGGGGGAUAACGUAGCGAAAGCUACGCUAAUACCGCAUACGAUCUACGGAUGAAAGCGGGGGAACGCAGGACCUCGCGCGAUUGGAGCGGCCGAUAUCAGAUUAGGUUGUUGGUGAGGUAAAAGCUCACCAAGCCUGCGAUCUGUAGCUGGUCUGAGAGGACGACUAGCCACACUGGAACUGAGACACGGUCCAGACUCCUACGGGAGGCAGCAGUGGGGAAUUUUGGACAAUGGACGCAAGUCUGAUCCAGCAAUGCCGCGUGCAGGACGAAGGCCUUCGGGUUGUAAACUGCUUUUGUACGGAACGAAACGGUGAGCUCUAAUACAGUUUGCUAAUGACGGUACCGUAAGAAUAAGCACCGGCUAACUACGUGCCAGCAGCCGCAGUAA